rnacentral:rRNA from 1 species
GACGAACGCUGGCGGCGUGCUUAACACAUGCAAGUCGAACGGAAAGGCCCUGCUUUUGUGCGGUCGUCGAUUGGCGAACGGGUGAGUAACACGUGUGUAACCUGUCCUUUACUUUGGGAUAACCUCAUGAAACUGGGGCUCAUACCGGAUAUGAUCUCCUGCUGCAGGAUGGGGCUUGGUAAGUUUCGGCGGUUGGGUAUGUACUAGCGGCUUAUCAGCUUGUUGGUGGGGUAGUGACGUACCAAGGCUUUGACGGGUAGCCGGCAUGAGAGGGUGAGCGGGUACGAUGGGACUGAGAUACGGCGCAGACUAGUAUCGGAGGCAACAGUGGGGAAUAUUACACAACGGGGGGAAGCAUGUUGUAGCAACGCCGCGUGCGGGAUGCUGGGCUGCGGGUUGUAAACUGAUUUCGUCUGUGCCGAGGAGUGAGUGACGGUACCGGGUAAAGAAGCCCCGGCUAACUACGUG